rnacentral:rRNA from 1 species
AGCUCCAAUAGCGUAUAUUUAAGUUGUUGCAGUUAAAAGCUCGUAGUUGGAUUUCGGGCCCAGGUGACCGGUCCGCCGUUUCGGUGUGCACUGGUUAGCUCGGUCUUUCUGCCGGGGACACGCUCCGUCUUAAUUGCCGGACGUGGAGUCGGCGAUGUUACUUUGAAAAAUUAGAGUGUUCAAAGCAGGCUUACGCUCUGAAUACUAUAGCAUGGAAUAACACGAUAGGACUCCGAGCCUAUUUUGUUGGUCUUCGGGACCGGAGUAAUGAUUAAGAGGGACAGUUGGGGGCAUUCGUAUUACGGUGUCAGAGGUGAAAUUCUUGGAUUUCCGUAAGACGAACUUCUGCGAAAGCAUUUGCCAAGGAUGUUUUCA